UACGUAGGGUGCAAGCGUUAAUCGGAAUUACUGGGCGUAAAGUGUGCGCAGGCGGUUAUGCAAGACAGAUGUGAAAUCCCCGGGCUCAACCUGGGAACUGCAUUUGUGACUGCAUGGCUGGAGUGCGGCAGAGGGGGAUGGAAUUCCGCGUGUAGCAGUGAAAUGCGUAGAUAUGCGGAGGAACACCGAUGGCGAAGGCAAUCCCCUGGGCCUGCACUGACGCCCAUGCACGAAAGCGUGGGGAGCAAACAGG
rnacentral:rRNA from 1 species